AUGAAAUUGUUCAAAAUCCAGGUACAAUUACAGUUGAUCAUUCCAUCAUUUCAUCACUUGAUCAUUCCAUCACUUCAUCACUUGAUCAUUUCAUUUAAUCAUUUCUUUGUUGUAUGUCUUGGUGCAGGUGUUGGGCAAGUUGCUAGGAAAAAUAAAACCCUCAAUGACCAGCAAAAAUUUGCUGCUUAUGUAGCAUUGCAUACACUGUGUAUGAGUAGAGGAGGCAUUUUUAUGAAAACUGAUAAGCAAGACAUUGCAAUUUUUUUUGGAGUGGGUGUUUGGAAUAUACAAAGAAUUUGGAGGAAAGCAAUGUUGCAAAUUCAAGAAGGUAAGGAGGUGGAUGUUUCCAAUCAGAGAAAAGGAAAUUGUGGAAGAAAGCCUAAGGACAUUAACCCAGAAAAAAUCCUAACAACCCCAUUGAACAAAAGGUCUACUAUUAGGUCACUAGCCUAA
rnacentral:rRNA from 1 species